rnacentral:rRNA from 1 species
UAAGGUAAUGGCUUAACCAAGGCAACGAUCCUUAAGCUGGUUUGAAAGAGGAUGAUCAGCCACACUGGGAACUGAAGACACGGCCCAAGACUCUACGGGAGGCAGCAGUGGGGGAAUAUUGCACAAUGGGGGGAGACCUGAUGCAGCCAUGCCGCGUGUGUGAAGAAGGCCUUCGGGUUGUAAAGCACUUUCAGCAGUGAGGAAGGUCGUGUACUUAAUACGUGCACGGCUUGACGUUAGCUGCAGAAGAAGCACCGGCUAACUCCGUGCCAGCAGCCGCGGUAAUACGGAGGGUGCGAGCGUUAAUCGGAAUUACUGGGCGUAAAGCGCAUGCAGGCGGUUUGUUAAGUCAGAUGUGAAAGCCCGGGGCUCAACCUCGGAACCGCAUUUGAAACUGGCAGGCUAGAGUCUUGUAGAGGGGGGUAGAAUUUCAGGUGUAGCGGUGAAAUGCGUAGAGAUCUGAAGGAAUACCAGUGGCGAAGGCGGCCCCCUGGACAAAGACUGACGCUCAGAUGCGAAAGCGUGGGUAGCAAACAGGAUUAGAUACCCUGGUAGUCCACGCCGUAAACGCUGUCUACUUGGAGGUUGAGGUUUUAGACUUUGGCUUUCGGCGCUAACGCAUUAAGUAGACCGCCUGGGGAGUACGGCCGCAAGGUUAAAACUCAAAUGAAUUGACGGGGGCCCGCACAAGCGGUGGAGCAUGUGGUUUAAUUCGAUGCAACGCGAAGAACCUUACCUACUCUUGACAUCCAGCGAAGCCUUUAGAGAUAGAGGCGUGCCUUCGGGAGCGCUGAGACAGGUGCUGCAUGGCUGUCGUCAGCUCGUGUUGUGAAAUGUUGGGUUAAGUCCCGCAACGAGCGCAACCCUUAUCCUUGUUUGCCAGCACGUAAUGGUGGGAACUCCAGGGAGACUGCCGGUGAUAAACCGGAGGAAGGUGGGGACGACGUCAAGUCAUCAUGGCCCUUACGAGUAGGGCUACACACGUGCUACAAUGGCAGAUACAGAGGGCAGCGAGACAGCGAUGUUUAGCGAAUCCCUUAAAGUUUGUCGUAGUCCGGAUUGGAGUCUGCAACUCGACUCCAUGAAGUCGGAAUCGCUAGUAAUCGUGGAUCAGAAUGCCACGGUGAAUACGUUCCCGGGCCUUGUACACACCGCCCGUCACACCAUGGGAGUGGGCUGCACCAGAAGUAGAUAGCUUAACCUUCGGGAGGGCGUACCACGAUGU